rnacentral:rRNA from 1 species
GAGUUUGAUCCUGGCUCAGAUUGAACGCUGGCGGCAGGCCUAACACAUGCAAGUCGAACGGUAACAGGAAGAAGCUUGCUUCUUUGCUGACGAGUGGCGGACGGGUGAGUAAUGUCUGGGAAACUGCCUGAUGGAGGGGGAUAACUACUGGAAACGGUAGCUAAUACCGCAUAACGUCGCAAGACCAAAGAGGGGGACCUUCGGGCCUCUUGCCAUCGGAUGUGCCCAGAUGGGAUUAGCUAGUAGGUGGGGUAACGGCUCACCUAGGCGACGAUCCCUAGCUGGUCUGAGAGGAUGACCAGCCACACUGGGACUGAGACACGGUCCAGACUCCUACGGGAGGCAGCAGUGGGGAAUAUUGCACAAUGGGCGCAAGCCUGAUGCGGCCAUGCCGCGUGUAUGAAGAAGGCCUUCGGGUUGUAAAGUACUUUCAGCGGGGAGGAAGGGAGUAAAGUUAAUACCUUUGCUCAUUGACGUUACCCGC